rnacentral:lncRNA from 1 species
CAUUUUAUCGUGCUAAAUAUCUUCGCCACCGGCAAUUCUUCCGAGAUAACAAUCUGCGUUAGCCGUCACCGUCGCCAAUUCUUCAAUAGGUUAUGAACCCCGGCUAGCGCCGACAGCUAUCGUCCGAUUGUUAUUUCUAUCCCUUAUUGACAAUGGUUAAGGAUAAACUUGAUGAGCCGCUGGACCUCCACAACUACUCCACCUGGCAAAUCAGGUUUAGCGCGAUGUGCAUGGCGCUUGGGCUUGAGCAAUCCCUGCUCGCCGAGCCGUGCAACGAGGAGGAAAUUCGACAGUCACGGAAGGUCAUCAAUCUGCUCAUCAAGAACGUCAAGGAUCAUCAUUUGCCGAUGGUUACCGGUGCUGCCAACGCGAAGAAGGCCUGGGACGCCUUGGGAUCUAUGUUUGCUGCCAACAACAACGCCCGGCUGGGAUCUAUGUUUGCUGCCAACAACAACGCCUUGGGAUCUAUGUUUGCUGCCAACAAGACGGCGGCUGGCAGAAGUUAAGGCCUGGCUUCUGCUUCCGACGUGUCCCAGCGCGUCCGGGUUCAAAUCCGCCUGCCGACCUCUCGGGGUGUUUGAGAGGUGAUGAAAUGGGAGGUGGCCCCCCAUCUUGUGGACGGUGUAGGACGUGAUAAAAUCAACUCGCGAGCUGACCAGGAACUAAGUUGACGCGCCGUUGAUCCGCUAGAUUUGGUUGGAUGCUGGUGGUGAGUUGCCAAACUCAAAGAGUACACUCUGAAGUCGGAUGGGGUGAAUGGCUUAGGGUGCCCCUCUAGCAGGGGAGAGCAGGGAACUGCCUCGGGAAGGAGGCCACUGGUGAAGCUUAACCACCCUGUAACAACAUCAACAACGCCCGCAAGGUGGCUCUACGUCAAGAAUUCAGCCGUUUUAAGAUGGUCGACGGCGAACCUCUUCCGAUGUACUUUGCGCGUGCAAGGCAGCUGCAAACAGAUUUAUUGAAAGUCGGCCACGUAGUUAACGACUCCGAGCUGGCGUACACCGUUCUAGUUGGUCUACCCAGUCGGUACAGCGUGGUGACGACCACAUUACUAAUGCGCGACGGUGAUUUGGACAUGGCGAGCGUCACAGCAAAGCUUCUCUCUAUCGAGACGGCUAACGGUGGGUCGGGCAAGCCUACCGAGUCGGCAGCCUUCGCGUCUGUCGGCGGUUCGACGUUCGGCGCUUCUACUUCUGGUUAUGGUAGCCGGGGGCCGGCGAACAACAGCUCGGGACACAGUCGGAAGCAACUCAUCUGCUACUACUGUAAUAAACCUGGGCACGUGGUUAAGGACUGCAGGCAGCUUAAAGCGCUGAAGCAGUCGUCAAAUUCUGGCUAUAAGGGUGGGUACAACAACAGUGGCAACGGAGGUAGUGGCAGCGGAGCUAGCGGCAGCAAGCCAGGAUCCGGUGGAUCAGCUAGGGGGCCAGGAGUUCCGCGGCAGGUAGCAUUCGUGGCAUACAACAGCAAUCGUCCGGCGGAAUGGUUUCUGGACUCAGCCGCCACUCACCAAAUAACGUAUGACCGCUCAGAACUUUUCAACGUGCGGUUGUUGGAGCCAUGGGAGCGCUUCAACAUCAUGGGCAUCAAGGGACAGUCUCUUCGGCCGACCGAAGUUGGCACGCUUAUGAUUCGGUCUAACGUCAACGAUAAACAGGCCAUUACUUUUAAGAAGGUCUACGUCGACGAGGAGGCCACCGCAAAAUCAUAUCGGUCCGCAUCAUUGAUGAUCGUGGAGGCAGUGUGGUCUUCAGCGGCGGACAGGUGAAAGUAUACGUACAGAACCAGUUGGUGCUGACUGGAAAGCGGGAUGGGGACUUGUAUCCCGUCUGCUACAGCAGUGGAGGUACAGGAGCUCUGAAGAGGACGCAGCGUGAAGACAACAGGAUACCUUCUGGUGGAGAUGCAGUGUGUGUGCUGCCGUAGGUAUCGGAGCUGAACGUCUUGUUCGCGUGCCAAAGCACCGACGUCUUUUGGACAAGACUAGUUUGCGAGUACCCGCCAGGUAACGCAAAACACCGGUUGCCAAGUUCAUGGCAGUCUUCGUAGGUGUGGCCAUAUGCCGGGACAAAACACUCUAUGCAUAAGGAAUGUCAGGCCGUGUGUUCGUCGCUAGGUAGUUCAACUCUCCCAUGGGCCACCAAAGCCCUCCGUGGGAUUACCCAGCAGCUCACCUCUAUCCCCCGUAGGUGUGCACCUAAAACCCGGAGGCAAAGGGUAGAUCGUGGCUUGGUGUCCACCUUCUGGUGACGUUCCAAUAGCUGCUCAAUAUUGCGACAACAACAAUUCGCCCGGCUUCUUCCUCUUAUUCCAUGCCCGAAAAUACCUGCGCUUCUCCAAGGUGUCGUACUUCUCGUACAUCUUUGCAACUAGCCAUGCAAAAGAGUGCUUGACACUGUAAGUUUCCAGUGUUUUCGACUUGUACAGCCACCGUGGGUGGCACAUGCAUAGCAUAAGGCUGUACACACAGCACACAAGUGCAGUUGACCAUCACUAUGCGCCACUCAUUUGCCCUUGCUCCUGAAAUGGCUUCAGUGAAAGUAUUACUCAGCAAAAACACAGCAGAGUUCGGAUCAGUGACAGCCACAUACAUGCGACCUCCUAUCCUCCUUCCUGCAUCACCACUCCGAAGGCCAUACUGUAUCCUCAUGUUCCCUGUCCUCUGUACUCCUGCGCUGGCGUGCACCACUGGAUGUUCCGGCUUCAUCCGGCAUUCCUUCACCAUCCACAGGUGACAGUGGUGCCUAGCCGACUGUGUUUCUUAAGUCUACCAGAGCUUGGCAGAGGCCUUGACUCAGGUACACCAAUACUAGCCGCUUCGGAGUCAGACAAUAGCUAGUGGUUCUUAUCUUGCAGCAAAACAACUACACGGCAUCACUGCACUGCAGCUACCGCCUGUCUGUUGAGGCAUGCUACCCCACCUGCCACGUGUGGAAGCCAAGACCACCUCCACUCCUUCCCAACACGUUACGCUGCGGCUCUCUCUGCAACUCCGAGCUACACGGCCCGUCUGUUUGUAGUUGCAGCAAAUGAUCGCCUGCUGCAAUCCACGCUGUCCAGUUGGGUCGACUGGAUACAAAUUUUUCGCGGCACUCACGGCCGUCAGUCGUCUGCAUGUGGGCCUGAGAUGGCUUCGGCAUAAACGUUAGUCCAAGCAGAUUGCAGCAUUGACUCGGCCUGUAAGAGUA